UAUUAAAAAUUCCACCCAUUAUUAUUAAUAAAAACUGGCGUAACUGACCAAAUAAGUAAAUAAUUAUAUAUGAUGUGCUAUGUGUACCUGAUUUUGAGGUAUAAAGAUAAUUUUAAAAUAAAAAUAGAUGAAAUUUUUAACA
rnacentral:pre_miRNA from 1 species